GACGAACGCUGGCGGCGUGCCUAAUACAUGCAAGUCGAGCGAGACUCUUCGGAGUCUAGCGGCGGACGGGUGAGUAACACGUGGGCAACCUGCCUGUAAGACUGGGAUAACACCGGGAAACCGGUGCUAAUACCGGAUAAUCCUUUUCUUCUCAUGAGGAAAAGCUGAAAGUCGGUUUCGGCUGACACUUACAGAUGGGCCCGCGGCGCAUUAGCUAGUUGGUGAGGUAACGGCUCACCAAGGCGACGAUGCGUAGCCGACCUGAGAGGGUGGUCGGCCACACUGGGACUGAGACACGGCCCAGACUCCUACGGGAGGCAGCAGUAGGGAAUCUUCCACAAUGGACGAAAGUCUGAUGGAGCAACGCCGCGUGAGCGAUGAAAGCCUUCGGGUCGUAAAGCUCUGUUGUUAGGGAAGAACAAGUGCCGGAGUAACUGCCGGUACCUUGACGGUACCUAACCAGAAAGCCACGGCUAACUACGUGCCAGCAGCCGCAGUAAAAC
rnacentral:rRNA from 1 species